rnacentral:sRNA from 1 species
GUUGUAUGAAUUUAAACUUGCAAAUUUGGUUUUGUCACCAUUUUGUGACAUCAAACUCAAUGUACAACACCCGGGUAACAAAAUUUCCAAAGUUGUUGAAUUGGAUUGAUAUCAAUAUCGGGAGAAGUUCAUCAGAAGUGCUUUGGCUAAGGCAUCGGUUGUUGUUGAUGUUGAUGUGUCCAAAGAAGAGCUUUGUUAUGGUAUGGUGACAGACGUUGUUUAGAA